CCCCUUAAGUAAUACUUAAUCAUGCUUUUCAUGAAAAUCAUGAGGGCAUAUACCCGUAAAACCGGCAAUACGGGUAUAUGCCAUCCAAUCAAAUAGAACGUAAACACACACCAUGUGCUUGAUAUAAACACACACACACGUGUUUAUAGUUAACAAUCACUUGACCGUUACAACGUCAUGUGACUUAAUACCUUUAAUAAAUAUAU
rnacentral:lncRNA from 1 species